UGGGGAAUUUUGGACAAUGGGCGAAAGCCUGAUCCAGCAAUGCCGCGUGUGUGAAGAAGGCCUUCGGGUUGUAAAGCACUUUUGUCCGGAAAGAAAUCCUUGGCUCUAAUACAGUCGGGGGAUGACGGUACCGGAAGAAUAGGCACCGGCUAACUACGUGCCAGCAGCCGCGGUAAUACGUAGGGUGCAAGCGUUAAUCGGAAUUACUGGGCGUAAAGCGUGCGCAGGCGGUUUGCUAAGACCGAUGUGAAAUCCCCGGGCUCAACCUGGGAACUGCAUUGGUGACUGGCAGGCUAGAGUAUGGCAGAGGGAGGUAGAAUUCCACGUGUAGCAGUGAAAUGCGUAGAGAUGUGGAGGAAUACCGAUGGCGAGGGCAGCCCCCUGGGCCAAUACUGACGCUCAUGCACGAAAGCGUGGGGAGCAAACAGGAUUAGAUACCCUGGUAGUCCACGCCCUAAACGAUGUCAACUAGUUGUUGGGGGACUUCAUUUCCUUGUAACGUAGCUAACGCGUGAAGUUGACCGCUGGGGAGUACGGUCGCAAGAUUAAAACUCAAAUGAAUUGACGGGGUCAUAGCUGUUCCU
rnacentral:rRNA from 1 species